CCUCCUGGAAAAUGGGAUUUUACUUUCUGUUCAGGACCCUCCUGAAAAAUAGGACUUUACUUUUGUUCAGGACCCUCCUGAUAAAAUGGGAAUUGACUUUUUUUUCAGGACCGUCCUGAAAAAUGGGAUUUCACUUUUUGUUCAGGAACCUCCAGAAAAAUAGGAUUUUACUUUCUGUUCAGGACCCUCCUGAAAAAUGAGAUUUCACUUUAUGUUCAGGACCCUCCUGAAAAAUGGGAUUUUAC
rnacentral:lncRNA from 1 species